rnacentral:rRNA from 1 species
AAUAGCCUAACGGCUGAACCAGCAACUUGGAAGAACGAAUAGUGAAAACUAAUUGUGCCAAAAUUUUUUUGGUACAAUACCGACUUAGUCGGAUAAAGUUCUGGAUAGAAUUAUGAUAAUGACAUUUUCUAUUUAUGUGUCUUGACCAAAAUACGUGCCAGCAGUCGCGGUAAUACGUAUAAGACUAGUGUUAUUCAUCUUUAAUAGGUUUAAAGGGUACCUAGACGGUAAGUAAAGCCUUAAUUGGAACUAAUUUACUAGAGUUACUUACGAAGGAGCAAUAAAGUACUAGUGGUGUAGAGAUAAAAUUCUAUAAUACCUUUUUUCAUGUGAAAAUUAAUGGCACAAGUAUAGGCGAAGGCAUCUCCUUAUGUGAUAACUGACGUUGAGGGACGAAGGCUUUGUGUAGCGAACAGGAUUAGAUACCCUGGUAGUCGGAGCAGAAAAUGAUGAGUGUCAUAGGUUAGGCAAUUGCUUAUUCUAUAAAUGAAAAUGUAAGCACUCCACCUCAAGAGUAAUUUGGCAACAUUGGAACUGAAAUCAUUAGACCGUUUCUGAAACCAGCAGUGAAGUAUGUUGUUUAAUUUGAUAAUCCGCAAAAAACCUUACCACAACUUGAAUAUUUAUAUUUGUUAUAAAUACAAGCGUUGCACGGCUGUCUUCAGUUAAUGUCGCGAGAUUAUGGUUAGCUCCAUUAAAUUAACGUAAACCCUUACUUUAUUUUUAAAUAAAGUAGUUCUCCGCUAUAUUGGAUAAGAUAAAAGGGACUAAGACAAGUCAUCAUGGCCUAAAUGUUGUGGGCUACAGACGUGCCACGUGAGCCUUUACAAAAGGAUGUGAAAUUAUAAAAUUAAGCUAAUCCCUAAAAUUGGCUAUACCAU